GAUGAAGAACGUAGCGAAAUGCGAUAAGUAAUGUGAAUUGCAGAAUUCAGUGAAUCAUCGAAUCUUUGAACGCACAUUGCGCCCCUUGGUAUUCCGAGGGGCAUGCCCGUUCGAGCGUCAUUAUACCCCUCAAGCCUAGCUUGGUGUUGGGGCCUGCUGUUACCGGCAGCCCUUAAAAUCAGUGGCGGUGCCAUCUGGCUCUAAGCGUAGUAAUACUUCUCGCUACAGGGUCCCGGUGGAUGCUUGCCAUCAACCCCUAAUUUUCUAUGGUUGACCUCGGAUCGGGUGGGGAUACCCGCUGAACUUAAGCAUAUCAAUAAGCGGAGGA
rnacentral:misc_RNA from 1 species